AUUGAACGCUGGCGGCAGGCUUAACACAUGCAAGUCGAGCGGAGAUGAGGUGCUUGCACCUUAUCUUAGCGGCGGACGGGUGAGUAAUGCUUAGGAAUCUGCCUAUUAGUGGGGGACAACAUUCCGAAAGGAAUGCUAAUACCGCAUACGUCCUACGGGAGAAAGCAGGGGAGCUACGGACCUUGCGCUAAUAGAUGAGCCUAAGUCGGAUUAGCUAGUUGGUGGGGUAAAGGCCUACCAAGGCGACGAUCUGUAGCGGGUCUGAGAGGAUGAUCCGCCACACUGGGACUGAGACACGGCCCAGACUCCUACGGGAGGCAGCAGUGGGGAAUAUUGGACAAUGGGGGGAACCCUGAUCCAGCCAUGCCGCGUGUGUGAAGAAGGCCUUAUGGUUGUAAAGCACUUUAAGCGAGGAGGAGGCUACUGAGACUAAUACUCUUGGAUAGUGGACGUUACUCGCAGAAUAAGCACCGGCUAACUCUGUGCCAGCCGCCGCCGUAAUAC
rnacentral:rRNA from 1 species